UGUUGUGAUUCUCCGAUCACGUGAAGAGAAAAUAAAAGAGGAAAAAUAAUUCUAUUUCUACUUGAAUAGAAUUUACAAUGGAGUUUACAAACUCUCAACAAAAAAACCUCUCAAAAGAGUCUCUCGAAUCUCUCUUUUAUUUCUCUCUUCUACCCUCUUUUUUCUCUUCCUCUCGUGGGAAGGAAUCUCUCUUUUAUUGUGGCCUUAAAAUUUUUUUCUCUUUGUAAACACCCCUAUUUAUAGAGAACAAUGUUGCAAGAACCGCCAUAAAUUAUGGCCCAAAAUCUACCAAACAAACCGCCUCAAUUUUCUAGUCCAAAAAUUGCCAGCCAACUGCCUAACAAUUCUGCCAAAGAGCUGCCAUGAAAAUGCAUGAAACCAGGCUGUUUUCAUGCAAAUUUCCAGCUGUAAUUUAAUGCAUGAAUCAGAAAAUGGUGGCUGCAACGUCUGAGGCGGUUGGGAGCUUCUAGCAUGUGGGAGGUAAGGUGGCUGGAGAAUUUUAAUUGAAAUUGUCUUCCUUUUGCAUGGUUGAUUUUUCAAUUUCUUCAGCUGGAAGAAACUCCAAAAUUGCAGCUGUAAUACGGCAAAAAUACG
rnacentral:lncRNA from 1 species